rnacentral:rRNA from 1 species
GACGAACGCUGGCGGCGUGCCUAAUACAUGCAAGUAGAACGCUGAAGGAGGAGCUUGCUUCUCCGGAUGAGUUGCGAACGGGUGAGUAACGCGUAGGUAACCUGCCUGGUAGCGGGGGAUAACUAUUGGAAACGAUAGCUAAUACCGCAUAAGAGUAGAUGUCGCAUGACAUUUGCUUAAAAGGUGCAACUGCACCACUACCAGAUGGACCUGCGUUGUAUUAGCUAGUUGGUGAGGUAACGGCUCACCAAGGCAACGAUACAUAGCCGACCUGAGAGGGUGAUCGGCCACACUGGGACUGAGACACGGCCCAGACUCCUACGGGAGGCAGCAGUAGGGAAUCUUCGGCAAUGGACGGAAGUCUGACCGAGCAACGCCGCGUGAGUGAAGAAGGUUUUCGGAUCGUAAAGCUCUGUUGUAAGGGAAGAACGAGUGUGAGAGUGGAAAGUUCACACUGUGACGGUAUCUUACCAGAAAGGGACGGCUAACUACGUG